UGGGACACUGAGUAAAUCAUCAAGGGGCUUUGCACUCACUGUGUGCUGUGCAUUCAUGUGUGUAACAAGAGCACACAAAAGGACAAUCAUGGAAAAUCAGACACAGAAAAAUAGCCAGAAGUUUCUUUAUGUGAGAUGAUGGAUGGUCAGCAGACAGAUCUAUAUCUCUGUUCUUCUGCUGAAGAAGAAUUUCUGAAGAAACUGGCUGAUUGUUUUCAAUGCACUGUCUUGGAGGGCGUUUGCCUGCAUUCCCAAGGAGACUAAUCCACCUUAGAUACAGUCCGUGUAAUUUUCAGGAAGCCUGAACUGCU